CAGUAGCCGCGGGAAUACGAAGGGGGCUAGCGUUGUUCGGAAUUACUGGGCGUAAAGCGCACGUAGGCGGAUAUUUAAGUCAGGGGUGAAAUCCCGCAGCUCAACUGCGGAACUGCCUUUGAUACUGGGUAUCUUGAGUAUGGAAGAGGUUAGUGGAAUUGCGAGUGUAGAGGUGAAAUUCGUAGAUAUUCGCAGGAACACCAGUGGCGAAGGCGGCUAACUGGUCCAUAACUGACGCUGAGGUGCGAAAGCGUGGGGAGCAAACAGGAUUAGAUACCCGUGUAGUCCCUGUCCUUAUACA
rnacentral:rRNA from 1 species